GUAGGGAAUAUUGGGCAAUGGUCGGAAGACUGACCCAGCCAUGCCGCGUGCAGGAAGACGGCCCUCUGGGUUGUAAACUGCUUUUAUCUGGGAAGAAAAAGGCCAUGCGUGGCAAAUUGCCGGUACCAGAUGAAUAAGCACCGGCUAACUCCGUGCCAGCAGCCGCGGUAAUACGGAGGGUGCAAGCGUUGUCCGGAUUUAUUGGGUUUAAAGGGUGCGUAGGCGGCUGAUUAAGUCAGCGGUGAAAGACUCCGGCUUAACCGGAGCAGUGCCGUUGAUACUGGUUAGCUUGAGUGUUGGAGGGGUACAUGGAAUUGAUGGUGUAGCGGUGAAAUGCAUUGAUACCAUCAGGAACACCGAUAGCGAAGGCAUUGUACUGGCCAACAACUGACGCUGAUGCACGAAAGUGUGGGGAUCGAACAGGAUUAGAAACCCCUGUAGUCC
rnacentral:rRNA from 1 species